GGUUAAGCGACUAAGCGUACACGGUGGAUGCCCUGGCAGUCAGAGGCGAUGAAGGACGUGCUAAUCUGCGAUAAGCGUCGGUAAGGUGAUAUGAACCGUUAUAACCGGCGAUUUCCGAAUGGGGAAACCCAGUGUGAUUCGUCACACUAUCAUUAACUGAAUCCAUAGGUUAAUGAGGCGAACCGGGGGAACUGAAACAUCUAAGUACCCCGAGGAAAAGAAAUCAACCGAGAUUCCCCCAGUAGCGGCGAGCGAACGGGGAGCAGCCCAGAGCCUGAAUCAGUGUGUGUGUUAGUGGAAGCGUCUGGAAAGGCGCGCGAUACAGGGUGACAGCCCCGUACACAAAAAUGCACAUGCUGUGAGCUCGAUGAGUAGGGCGGGACACGUGGUAUCCUGUCUGAAUAUGGGGGGACCAUCCUCCAAGGCUAAAUACUCCUGACUGACCGAUAGUGAACCAGUACCGUGAGGGAAAGGCGAAAAGAACCCCGGCGAGGGGAGUGAAAAAGAACCUGAAACCGUGUACGUACAAGCAGUGGGAGCACGCUUAGGCGUGUGACUGCGUACCUUUUGUAUAAUGGGUCAGCGACUUAUAUUCUGUAGCAAGGUUAACCGAAUAGGGGAGCCGAAGGGAAACCGAGUCUUAACUGGGCGUUAAGUUGCAGGGUAUAGACCCGAAACCCGGUGAUCUAGCCAUGGGCAGGUUGAAGGUUGGGUAACACUAACUGGAGGACCGAACCGACUAAUGUUGAAAAAUUAGCGGAUGACUUGUGGCUGGGGGUGAAAGGCCAAUCAAACCGGGAGAUAGCUGGUUCUCCCCGAAAGCUAUUUAGGUAGCGCCUCGUGAAUUCAUCUCCGGGGGUAGAGCACUGUUUCGGCAAGGGGGUCAUCCCGACUUACCAACCCGAUGCAAACU
rnacentral:rRNA from 1 species